rnacentral:rRNA from 1 species
GAUGAACGCUGGCGGCGUGCCUAAUACAUGCAAGUCGAGCGAACGGACGAGAAGCUUGCUUCUCUGAUGUUAGCGGCGGACGGGUGAGUAACACGUGGAUAACCUACCUAUAAGACUGGGAUAACUUCGGGAAACCGGAGCUAAUACCGGAUAAUAUUUUGAACCGCAUGGUUCAAAAGUGAAAGACGGUCUUGCUGUCACUUAUAGAUGGAUCCGCGCUGCAUUAGCUAGUUUGUAAGGUAACGGCUUACCAAGGCAACGAUGCAUAGCCGACCUGAGAGGGUGGAUCGCCAACAUGGAACUGAGGACAGGUCCCGGCUCCUAAGGGAGGGCGCAAGAGGGGAACUUUCGCCAUGGGGGGAAGCCUGGCGGAGGCAAGGCGCGUGAGGGAAGAAGGUUCUUCGGUCGUAAAACCACGUUAUUAGGGAAGAACAUAUGUGUAAGUAACUGUGCACAUCUUGACGGUACCUAAUCAGGAAGCCACGGCUAACUACGUG